rnacentral:rRNA from 1 species
AAGUUGUCAAGCUAGAGAAGGGUACAUGGUGGAUGUCUAGGCGCUAAGAGACGAUGAAGGACGCGGAAGACUGCGAUAAGCUUCGGGGAGCUGCCAAACAAGCAUUGAUCCGGAGAUUUCCGAAUGGGGAAACCUACUAUGGGUUUAUACCAUAGUAUCGGUAUCUGAAUACAUAGGGUAUCGAGGUGAACGGAGAGAAGUGAAACAUCUCAGUAACUCCAGGAGAAGAAAGAAAUUCGAUUUCCUCAGUAGCGGCGAGCGAAAGGGAAGAACCCAAACCGGUUGUGUGUCAAGCCCUUGUGUGUUGCACAGCCGGGGUCGUGGGGAUUGCAUUCGGCAAACAAGGCUUGCCGGGAAAGUUACCAACGAAAUUUUUAGCUGAAUAGUGCAGGAAAGCCUAACCAUAGAAGGUGAUAGUCCUGUAGGCGAAAAGAAUUUCGCUUUCUUUGCAAUUUCCCAAGUAACAUCCGUCUCGUGGAAGCGGGUGUGAAUUAGGGGGGUCCAUCCUCUAAGGCUAAAUACUUCCUAGCGACCGAUAGCGCACAAGUAGCGCGAGCGAAAGAUGAAAAGCACCCCUGUUAGGGGGAUGAAAUAGAACCUGAAAUCGUGUACUUACGAGCGGUGGGAGCACUAUGUAUCGCAAGAUACAGUGUGACCGCGUGCCUUUUGCAUAAUGAACCGGCGACUUACUGUGCAUUGCUUGGUUAAGUCUGUGAAGGACGGAGCCGUAGCGAAAGCGAGUGUGAAAUGCGCGAUAUAGGGUAGUGCAUAGUAGACCCGAAACCAGGUGAUCUACCCUUGGUCAGGAUGAAGCGGAUGUAAAAGUUCGUGGAGGUCCGAACGCACUUGCGUUGAAAAGCGAGGCGAUGAACUGAGGGGAGGAGUAAAAGUCUAAUCAAACUUGGUGAUAGCUGGUUCUCCUCGAAAUAGCUUUAGGGCUAGCCUUAUGGAACUAUGGAACGGGGGUAGAGAUACUGAUUGGAUUUUGGGGUCCACCAGACUACCAAAUCCUGUCAAACUCCGAAUACCGUUCUAUGUAUCGUAAGAGUCAGACUGUGGGGGAUAAACUUCAUGGUCAAGAGGGAAACAACCCAGACCGACAGCUAAGGUCCCUAAAAUAGACUAAGUGAUAAAGGAAGUGAGAGUGCGAAGACAGUUAGGAUGUUGGCUUAGAAGCAGCAACCAUUUAAAAAGUGCGUAAUAGCUUACUAAUCGAGCACUCUUGCGCCGAAAAUAUUACGGGACUCAAGUCUGUUACCGAAGCUUCGGAUUUGUGAGAUUAUGCGUAAUCUUACAAGUGGUAGGGGAGCGUUCUACGAUAGGUUGAAGAGAGACUGAAAAGACUCUUGGACGAUGUAGAAGUGAUAAUGCCGGUAUAAGUAGCGAUAAUAUAAGUGAGAAUCUUAUUCGCCGCAAGCCUAAGGUUUCCUGGGGAAGGUAAAUCCGCCCAGGGUUAGCCGGGACCUAAGUCGAGGCUGAAAGGCGUAGACGAUGGAUAGCAGGUUAAUAGUCCUGCGCCACCAUACGAGCAUUUGAGCAUGGGGGGACGGAGGUGUGAAGGUUAGCAAACCUAUUAGACACGGUUUGUUCAAGCCGGAGGUGUUGUCUCAGGAAAAUCCGGGACAUAUGGCAUCGAAGGUGAGUACGUAGGCGUAAGCCGAUAAGUAACCGGAGCACCUUCCAAGAAAAGCCUCGUUUGCAAGUUCGUAUGGUGCUCGUACUAAAACUGACACAGGUUGGCGGGGAGAGGAUCCCAAGGCGCUCGAGAGAACCCUCGUUAAGGAACUCGGCAAAAUCACUCCGUAACUUCGGGAAAAGGAGUACCCUGAUAAUAUCAGGGUCGCAGUGAAAAGGCCUGGGCGACUGUUUACUAAAAACACAAGUCUCUGCUAAGAUCUAAAAUCAACGUAUAGAGACUGACGCGUGCUCGAUGCCAGAACGUUAAGGGAAUGGGUUAGUGUCCGAAAGGAAUGCGAAGCUCAGAACCGAAGCGCUGGUGAAUGGCGGCUCUAA